rnacentral:rRNA from 1 species
GGUGAACGCUGGCGGCGUGCUUAACACAUGCAAGUCGAACGAGAACGGAUUAUAGCUUGCUAUAAUUGUCAGCUAAGUGGCGCACGGGUGAGUAAUGUAUAGGUAAUAUGCCUCUUACUAAGGGAUAACAAAUGGAAACGUUCGCUAAUACCUUAUACUCCUUAUUAACAGAAGUUAAUAAGGGAAAGAUUUAUUGGUAAGAGAUUAGCCUGUAUUGUAUCAGUUAGUUGGUGGGGUAAUUGCUUACCAAGACUAUGACACAUAACUGGUUUGAGAGGAUGAUCAGUCACACUGGAACUGAGACACGGUCCAGACUCCUACGGGAGGCAGCAGUGGGGAAUAUUGCACAAUGGACGAAAGUCUGAUGCAGCAACGCCGCGUGGAGGAUGACACAUUUCGGUGCGUAAACUCCUUUUAUAUGAGAAGAUAAUGACGGUAUUAUAUGAAUAAGCACCGGCUAACUCCGUGCCAGCCGCCGCAGUAA